rnacentral:lncRNA from 1 species
CAUGUUUGUGAUACCAGUCAAGGAAGAGACACAUCUCUCCAUUUAGGACACAAGUACAUAUUUGGGUCAUAGAUACACAUAAAAGUAUAGAUAGUCACUUUUUUUGUAUCUUCAACAUUUCCUAUUUAUAGAUGAUUAAUAUUCUCCAGUUGAGGUCUUUGAAGCAACCUUGGACGUCUCAGUAACAAUUUUAUUUGCAGUGAAUGGAGAAGAGAAAUAGUUCUUGGCCAUCUCCAAUGGCAGGGAUGCUUGGGUACAUCAUUCUAUCUAAACUUUGUGAUAACUUGACUGAUGUAAGUGUCAAUAUCUUCAGUUUGAAAAUGAAGACAGGGAAAAUCAGAGAGGCGAAGUUUGCCUAAGGCCACACAGUUUUCUAAGAGCCAGGGGGGUGUCUGGAUCCCGUGCAGUCUGACUUGACAGCCCGUUCCCUUUCCUUCAGAGCACCGGGUUCUCUGCCUUUCUCACUGAUCUAUAGUUUGUGCCAUAAUUGAGUACGCUAAUAGUUGAACGUAGAUGGAAUAUUUUGAACUGAGUUGUAUUUCCCCACAGAUCAGCAUUAGGAUUUCAGAGAAAAUCAUCUUCAACGAUGAACAGUGGGUUUGGGUACGUGUGUUCUCAGUUACCCCACUCCUCCUCUAUUCUGAAUGAUCAGGGGCGGGGGAGGAUUACAUAAUGCACCAGGAAACUAACUCUGAUUUCACUUAUUUCCCAAUUUUUCUCUUCAUAAAGGGAACACUAGCUUUUCAUUUAUUGGUGAAAUAAUGCCGGCUCAAACCUCUUGACCCCGGGGAAGGCUACUUUAUUUCUGCGCCUGUUUCCUCCUCUGUAAGAUGGGAGCCGUGAUGUUCCGGGAGCAGAGUGAGGAUCCAGCAAGGUGGGGAAAUGGGAUAAUGACUCUCAAGUCCUUCCGUAAGAGUGCUUGGUGACCGCUAACUUCUAGUCUGGCCCCUCAUUGGGCCUGACUUAAUUUUAGCAAUCAAGAGAAAAUCCAGAAGUCAGAAGGAUCAGGGCCGCCCUGCAGGGCUGGAGACUAGUUACAGAGAAGCUAGACCUGUCCUCUCCCUGCCCUUAAUUGGCUUUGCCGUGACUUAAGGGAUGGCCGGUCAGUCCCCGACUCAGAGCAGACUUGAAAACUCAAGUCAACAUGAACAUACAUUAAUAUUAACCAGAGAACAAAUAUUUGUGAAACUCCCUAGUCCCUUCAUGUUUACCUUUGCUCCUGGAGACUAGUUAGCAGAGGUAACAUCAAACAAAAAGAGUAUUCCCCUCUUCGGGGAAAGUUACACUCCUGGCUCUCGCCAUGGGCCUUAGCCACUCCCUGUUCCUAUCUAUGGGCAAGACAGCUGGCAUGUUACCCAAACACGUGUCAUUUCACAAUGCCCCCACGGUGUCUGCAGAGCGGACACAGUGCCCUGCCAGUGAUUAGGCCGUCUUAUUGAAUUAACGAAUAUUUACAGAAACACGCUCCAUUCCAGUACUUUCUCACAUUUAACUCCAAACAAGAUGAACAGGUUUUGAGUCCGAAAAUAGUUUAGCUCAGGGAAAAUUAUUUUCCCCAAGGAACAUACAGGGUGGAAGACGAAAGAGUUCGACUUUGCUUAGAAUAAAGCUAGGCCAAUAUUUGGCCACUAUUUGUGACCAGAUUCACCAGCCCUGACCUUCAGCUAUUUGAGACAGACUCCGCAGGAUCUCUCACUUCUGCCUGAAAUCUUAACAUACAUGCACACACAUGCACACGUGCACAUGCACACACCGCAUGCACACACGCACAUGCACACACUCACACAUGCACACGCACACACACGCACACGCACACACAUGCACACACGUACACGUGCGCAUGCACACACAUGCACACAUGCACCUGCGCACACGCGCGUGCGCACACCAGGUUCCCCAAUCAGAAUCUCCAGUGGCCCUGUCCACGCGUCCCUCCUUCCCUAGGGUAACUAAAAGUGCCACAGCGAUCUGGAAAACUCUACGCUUUUUCGUUCCUGCUAAUGGAUCCUGUCCUGCUGUCCUCGUCGUGUUCCCACUUCAUGACCCUCUGGGCUUCGCCCCUGGAGGCGGCUUCAGCGCACCUCCUCAUCUUGGGCCAGGGCCGGCUUGGCUGGGCGCACAGGGGGCGGAAGGUUUUCCCAUCCUGCGGCCUCUUGCUCUUAUGAGCCCUCUGGCCCUCGUCCUCCGCCCCCUGUAGAUUAACCCCAUUACAGCGAGUCCACGCGGAGCCCUGGUGAGGCCGGGCCCACCACUGAACUGCACAGCCUCGGAGGGAGCGCUUUGCACAAAGCCCAUUAAGGAGGUGACAGCUGAGCCUCCCUCUAGUAACUCAC